rnacentral:rRNA from 1 species
AUUGAACGCUGGCGGCAGGCCUAACACAUGCAAGUCGAGCGGCUGAAGGGAGCUUGCUCCUGGAUUCAGGGGCGGACGGGUGGGUAAUGCCUAGGAACCUGCCUGGUAGUGGGGGAUAACGUCCGGAAACGGGCGCUAAUACGCCAUACGCCCUGAGGGAGAAAGUGGGGGAUCUUGGGACCUCCGGCUAUCGGAUGAGCCUAGGUCGGAUUAGCUAGUUGGUGGGGUAAAGGCCUACCAAGGCGACGAUCCGUAACUGGUCUGAGAGGAUGAUCAGUCACACUGGAACUGAGACACGGUCCAGACUCCUACGGGAGGCAGCAGUGGGGAAUAUUGGACAAUGGGCGAAGGCCUGAUCCAGCCAUGCCGCGUGUGUGAAGAAGGUCUUCGGAUUGUAAAGCACUUUAAGUUGGGAGGAAGGGCAGUAAGUUAAUACCUUGCUGUUUUGACGUUACCAACAGAAUAAGCACCGGCUAACUUCGUG